ensembl:lncRNA
CCAGGACAGUGAAGGGAGAAGCUGAUGUCGGACUUCUUUGGUGGUUGAGGGGUUAAGAAUCUGCCUGCCAAGGCAGAGAACACGAGUUUAAUCCCUGGUCCAGGAAGAUUCCCCAUGCUUCGGGGCAACUAAGGCCGUGCAGCACUACUGAGCCUGAGCUCAGAGCGCGCGUGCUUGGCAGCAAGAGAAACCACAAUGAGAAGCUCUCACAGUGUGACUAGAGAGUAGCCUCUGCUCACCACAGCUAGAGAAAGCCCGCGAGGAGCAGCAGAGAUCCAGAGCAGUCAGUAAAUCAAUACAUGAAAAGCUGGUGUCAGGGUCAAAGCAAAACAGAGUCAGACCAGGCCAGAAGAAAUGCAGAGGGGGAUCAGAGGACAAGGAGAGAGGCCCCAGGAAUCUGGGUGUUGAAGUUCAGUGUGAGUUUAGGAGAUGAAGGCUGGAGUGGGAGGAAACAGCAAGCAGGCGCUCGGCCCAGCCCAGCCUUCAGCCGUCGCUAGAAAUGGGGACAGAGUGACCUUGACUUGUUUUCCAAGCUCUGUAACAGGAGGGCUGGCAGCACACAGACCCAGUGUGUGGGUAGCAGGGGGCUUUUCUGCAGCUGGCUCUGUUCAUUUGCCUCGUGUUUGUAUAGUGUGCCUGGUUCUAGCGUGUUCAUUUUCCUGCUGAGCCCUGCUGAAAUAUAAAUGUAGGGAGUUCCCUGGUGGCCCAGGGGCUGACACUCUGUGCUCCCAAUGCAAGGGGCCUGGAUGUGAUGCCUGGUCAGGGAACUAGAUCUCACAUGCGGCAAUUAAGAGUUCCCAUGCCACAACAAAAAGAUGAAGAUCAAAGAUCCCAAGGGACAAAACUAAGAGCUGGUACAGCCAAAUAAAUAAAUAAAAUAAACAUUUUAUUAUUUAUUUAUUUUUUAUUUAUUUUUUUAAAAUAAACAUUUUAAAAAGAGAAAUUUCUGUUGUACCCUGAGGUUCCCUGUGUCCCUUUGCUGUCAGUCUACCCACUACCACCCAGCCAGGCAACCACGGGUCUGCUUUCUGUUACUUUAGCUGCGGCUUUCUAGAAUUUCUAUAAAUAAGAUCAUAAAAAGU